rnacentral:tRNA from 2 species
GGGGGAGUAGCUCAGCUUGGUUAGAGUGUUGGCCUGUCACGCCAAAGGUCGCGGGUUCGAUACCCGUCUCUCUCG